rnacentral:lncRNA from 1 species
AUACACUGGAUUUCCAAGCAUCAUGGAACACAUACUCGGAACUAUUCUCUCAUGGCUUAUGCCGUAUGGGAAUGGAAAUGCUAUCCACAUAAAAAGUUUCUUUGACAUCACUUCUGCAGUCUAGGGUAGGAAAUGUACAAGAUGAGGUUGGGACAUCAAAGACUACCAGGUCUGUUGAAAGGAACUAAGAGUCAAUUAAAGAAGGCUCCCAUGGCCAAAGAUGGAAGAAUUUGAGCACCAAUCAAUCAACCAAUCAAUAAACAAUGUGAUAAAUUGAAGCAGAAUGUAUGUAUAAAAAUCUUUGCAUUCACAAUGGUACUCAAACAAACGAAUACUCAAAAAACUCAGUGAUUGCCUUUGGAGGUGACUAUGAAGGGCACCAUUGCAUUAUUU